rnacentral:rRNA from 1 species
UGGGGAAUAUUGGACAAUGGGCGAAAGCCUGUUCCAGCCAUGCCGCGUGUGUGAAGAAGGUCUUCGGAUUGUAAAGCACUUUAAGUUGGGAGGAAGGGCAGUAAGCGAAUACCUUGCUGUUUUGACGUUACCGACAGAAUAAGCACCGGCUAACUCUGUGCCAGCAGCCGCGGUAAUACAGAGGGUGCAAGCGUUAAUCGGAAUUACUGGGCGUAAAGCGCGCGUAGGUGGUUCGUUAAGUUGAAUGUGAAAGCCCCGGGCUCAACCUGGGAACUGCAUCCAAAACUGGCGAGCUAGAGUAGGGCACAGUGUGGUGGAAUUUCCUGUGUAGCGGUGAAUUGCGUAGAUAUAGGAAGGAACACCAGUGGCGAAGGCGACCACCUGGGCUCAUACUGACACUGAGGUGCGAAAGCGUGAGGAGCAAACAGG